rnacentral:rRNA from 1 species
UGGGGAAUUUUCCGCAAUGGGCGAAAGCCUGACGGAGCAAUACCGCGUGAGGGAGGAAGGCUCUUGGGUCGUAAACCUCUUUUCUCAGGGAAGAACACAAUGACGGUACCUGAGGAAUAAGCAUCGGCUAACUCCGUGCCAGCAGCCGCGGUAAUACGGAGGAUGCAAGCGUUAUCCGGAAUGAUUGGGCGUAAAGCGUCCGCAGGUGGCUAUGUAAGUCUGCUGUUAAAGAGUCUAGCUCAACUAGAUAAGAGCAGUGGAAACUACAUGGCUAGAGUGCGUUCGGGGCAGAGGGAAUUCCUGGUGUAGCGGUGAAAUGCGUAGAGAUCAGGAAGAACACCGGUGGCGAAGGCGCUCUGCUAGGCCGCAACUGACACUGAGGGACGAAAGCUAGGGGAGCGAAUGGGAUUAGAUACCCCAGUAGUCCUAGCCGUAAACGAUGGAUACUAGGCGUGGCUUGUAUCGACCCGAGCCGUGCCGUAGCUAACGUACG